AAUCCAGGUCCGAAUUGUCACCUGCGUUGGUGUGCGUUCCGCAAAGCGGAUAGGACCUGGAUUUUUU
rnacentral:ncRNA from 1 species